CUGAUACUAAGCUUAUCUUGUUUUCUGAUUCGUUUCUUUGUAUCACAUGCUUUCUGUUUUAUUAUAAAUAUUUCAUUGCAGUAAUGAAAUGAUUUAACAUAUUUUUUUUUCUUCAUUGUUUAUUGAUAUAGAUUGUUUCGUUAGGCAAACGGAAUUUUAAGAGAAGAGCAGAACGAUUAGUAAUAAAAAGAUUUAGACAAGAAAAAGAGGAACAAUUUAUGAGAUCUAGAAUUAUUUCCAAAGUUAUGUCCAGAAGAAAUAACAAUAAUAGUGAUAGUAAACCAACAUGCUCAACUAAGUGGAGCAAAUAACAAUAAUGAGUUUAUUAUUCCGAUGAAUGUGCCCACACAAUUUCAUUUAAAUGAGGCAGACAGCAAUGAAGAAUUUGAAAUGAAUGAUGGAGAAUCUCACUUCGAAGUUGAAGAUAGACUUGAUAGAGAAUCUGGUAAUGAAAGUGAUAGCGAAACUGCAGCUGAAGGAAAUGAGAGUGUUGCAGUUUGAUAAUAAUAUUGCAACAGAAAAUUUUAUUCUUACAACAAUCAAAGAAUGGAAGUGAUUAUAGGUGCAAUUCAUGACAAGAGACCCAAUGUAUCUGUUGCGGAUUUAUCAUUAUAUGCAGGACAAUGGUUAAAGAAUGCUCCAUAUAGAAAACAAGAUGAUGGAAGUUACGGAAGACGUGAUAAAAAGUUUAAAGAAGCAGAUGAGCACUUAUCUUCAUAAGCAUUUAUCCAUAUUUUAUUUUGUUUGGCAAACAUGCAUUCAAUAUAGUUCAAUAUAGUUUAUGUUUACAGUUUUAUGUUCACACAUAUAUAUUUAUAAUAAACAGCAUAAUAAUAAACUUGAA